UCAGUCCUCCAGACCGAGCACCAACAGCCACCAUGUUCAAGUCCCUGCUCCUCGUCUUCGCCGUCCUGGCUGUGGCCUCGGCCCAGUACAUCGCCUCACCCUACAGCACCUACAGCGCCGGCGCCUACCCCGCCUACUCUGGUGUCAGCGCCUACUCUGCCUACCCUGCCUACUCCGGAGUCAGCACCUACGGCGCCUACCCCUACGCCUACUCCGGCCUCGGCUACGGCUCUUCCUACCUCUACCGUUAAAUCCAAAUGUUUGCCUACAUAGCCCGGAUUUCCCUUCGUGAGACAAGAACCGUCUGCAGAACGGCCAAUGGAUCGCAACGCAUCACCACUUUCGGCACAUUGAAGUGAAAAAGAACAUUAAACAGUUUUUCUAAUGAAUA